AUUUAACUGUCAAAAUAUUUUUAUAUCCUCAUGACGUUUGGUUAAAAUGUUUUAUAUUGCGUAUUAAAGGAUGUAAUAAACUUAUGAUAAAAAUAAAAAUAUAAACAAACACAUGCUUAAUAUGUGAGAUACAAAAUACUGAAGUCUUCAAUGUCCAUCCCUUAGUUACUUACGAAGUAUUGUAAUUAUUUUGUAGUUUUUUUUCUAUUCAUAUGUGAAUAACUUAUUUACUAACACAAAUGGAAGGUUGCCUGUGAUAAUUGUGAAAUAAUAACACCAGUACACUUUAUACAAAUAAGCUGCGAAGCUUUCUCUCAGGGUAGAAA
rnacentral:lncRNA from 1 species